AACCUUUACACUGCACGACAGUGCGAUAGGGGGACACCGAGUGCGAGGGCAUAGAGCCCUCGCUUUUCUGAACCGUAAGGUGGUUCAGGAACAAGGGCUGGGCAAGACCGGUGCCAGCCGCCGCGGUAACACCGGCAGCCCAAGUGAUGGCCGAUAUUAUUGGGCCUAAAGCGUCCGUAGCUGGCCGAGCAAGUUCGUCGGGAAAUCCACGCGCUUAACGUGUGGGCGUCCGGCGAAAACUGUUCGGCUUGGGACCGGAAGAUCUGAGGGGUACGUCUGGGGUAGGAGUGAAAUCCCGUAAUCCUGGACGGACCACCGAUGGCGAAAGCACCUCAGAAGGACGGAUCCGACAGUGAGGGACGAAAGCUAGGGUCUCGAACCGGAUUAGAUACCCGGGUAGUCCUAGCCGUAAACGAUGCUCGCUAGGUGUGGCACAGGCUACGAGCCUGUGCUGUGCCGUAGGGAAGCCGUGAAGCGAGCCGCCUGGGAAGUACGUCUGCAAGGAUGAAACUUAA
rnacentral:rRNA from 1 species